rnacentral:rRNA from 1 species
UACGUAGGGUGCGAGCGUUGUCCGGAAUUAUUGGGCGUAAAGGGCUCGUAGGCGGUUUGUCGCGUCGGGAGUCAAAACCAGGUGCUUAACACCUGGCUUGCUUUCGAUACGGGCAGACUAGAGGUAUGCAGGGGAGAACGGAAUUCCUGGUGUAGCGGUGAAAUGCGCAGAUAUCAGGAGGAACACCGGUGGCGAAGGCGGUUCUCUGGGCAUGACCUGACGCUGAGGAGCGAAAGUGUGGGGAGCGAACAGG